UGCGCAGUGUGUGUAUGUGUGUUUCCGUGUCAGUCUCAGCGGUGUUUAUGAACAUGGCGACGUUAUUGCGCGGUGUUCUUCGGGUGUCACGCAGCGCGCGCGCACACAGCAGUGUUAUUAGGCGCUAUGGCACAGGAGAGAUGUUAUGGACAUGUCACACACUCACACACAGGGAUCUGAUCAAAGUCCACGGUCAGGACACACACUCCUACCUGCAGGGUCUCAUCACUAAUGAUAUCAGCGCUCUGGAGGACAGCGGACACACUGCUCUGUACACACACCUGCUCAGCGUGCAGGGGAGAACCCUGUAUGACGUCAUGCUCUACAGUCUGAAGGACAGCAGCUAUGGCCUGAGCUGUGUCCUCCUCGAGUGCGACAGCUCUGUGGUAAACUCCAUCACACGCCACCUGAAGAUGUACAAGAUCCGCCGUAAAGUGUCGGUGGAGGUGUGUCCGGAUCUGUCGCUGUGGGCGUUAUUGGGACUGAACACACACCAUGCUGAGGGGUCACAACCAGAACCUGAGCCCGAGCUGAGGAAGAAAGAUGGGGUGGUUGCAAUGGUCCAAGAUCCCAGAACCUCUCUGAUGGGCUGGAGACUGAUAACCAGGAACCAGGAGAAACCCUCAGAAAUAAUCACUGCGUGUAACCAUGGCAACACUGAGGACUAUCAUCGCCAUCGCUACAAGAUCGGUGUGCCCGAGGGUGUACAGGACCUCCCUCCAGGUGAAGCUCUGCCUCUGGAGUCCAACCUUGUCUUUCUGAAUGGGAUUAGCUUCUCUAAAGGCUGCUACAUCGGACAGGAGCUCACGGCUCGCACACACUACACGGGCGUGGUCCGUAAACGCCUCAUGCCUCUCAGCCUCUCUGUACCUGUGGAGAACCUGCCGAUGGGGGGCGCAAUUGAGGCAUCACAGGGGAAAGUGGCAGGGAAACUAAGGUCUGGGGUCGGGGAGCUCGGGCUGGGCCUCGUUCGGCUCAGUCACGCCAAAGAGAAGCUCACGGUGUCAUCCACUCAGGGGGAAGGAGUAACAGUCACAGCGUCAGUGCCAGACUGGUGGCCCAAGGACAUGAAGGACAAACUGUAAACAUUAAUGCAGUCAACAUGAAUAGCCACGAAGAUAACAGACGAGCCGCUGAACAGAUUCUAUUAUGCAGCUCCUCCAGGUUAAUCCCCGGAGCCGACGCCAACACUCGCUUAAAAUCCUCGUUGCUGAGCAUGUUCUCUAAGACGUGAGCCACCCUCUGAAGGUCAAAGGUCACAUGGUGAGGCCCAAGAGCACUAAGUGUCUCUGACAACGUGUUUUCAUGACGAGAGGACAAGAAGGAGAUACGGUGAUUAGCGAUGGUUUUGAGGAAGGUGACGAAUUCAGCGUAGUCAAUCCCUGUACAUGACUUCAUCAUCACCUGGGACACGAGAACAGCGUUAAAAUGAUCGUCUAUUAAUAACACAGAACUGUCUGAAGUGAUGUCAUCCAUGUCCUCACUGUUACAUGAUGAUUGUGUAUCGUAACUGUCCUCACUGUUACAUGAUGAUGAUGAUGAUGAUGAUUGUGUAUCGUAUCGUAACUGUGCUCAUUGUUACAUGAUGAUGAUGAUUGUGUAUCGUAUCGUAACUGUCCUCACUGUUACAUGAUGAUGAUGAUGAUGAUUUGUGUAUCGUAACUGUCCUCACUGUUACAUGAUGAUGAUGAUGAUGAUGAUGAUUUGUGUAUCGUAACUGUCCUCACUGUUAACUGAUGAUGAUGAUUGUGUAUCGUAUCGUAACUGUCCUCACUGUUACAUGAUGAUGAUGAUGAUGAUUGUGUAUCGUAACUGUCCUCACUGUUACAUGAUGAUGAUGAUUGUGUAUCAUAUCUGUCCUCACUGUUACAUGAUGAUGAUGAUUGUGUAUCGUAUCUGUCCUCACUGUUACAUGAUGAUGAUGAUGAUGAUUGUGUAUCGUAACUGUCCUCACUGUUACAUGAUGAUGAUGAUUGUGUAUCAUAUCUGUCCUCACUGUUACAUGAUGAUGAUGAUUGUGUAUCGUAUCUGUCCUCACUGUUACAUGAUGAUGAUGAUUGUGUAUCGUAUCUGUCCUCACUGUUACAUGAUGAUGAUGAUGAUGAUGAUGAUUGUGUAUCGUAUCAUAACUGUCCUCACUGUUACAUGAUGAUGAUGAUGAUGAUGGUGAUGAUUGUGUAUCAUAACUGUCUUCACUGUUACAUGAUGAUGGUGAUGAUUGUGUAUCAUAACUGUCCACACUGUUACAUGAUGAUGAUGAUUGUGUAUCGUAUCGUAACUGUGCUCAUUGUUACCUGACAGUGAUGGUCCCAGGAAUCCAUGGUGUCCCUCCACUCGUGGAUCUCCUUCUGUAUAGAUGACAGCUCCCCCUGCAGGAAGUCCCACACUACAUCCACAUUACAGCCAUUCAGCCAGUUAUGGUUAAUGGAGAUUGUGUCCUCCUAACACACAAACACACACAUACACACAAAUACAAAUAUUUGCUGUAAUUAUUCAGUUUAUUUACUGAAAAUUAAUAAAUUCUUGUGUGUAUUAUAUUUCUA